UGGUUAUACCUGCAACCAUGAGGAUGUCUCUGUAGAGGAUUUACUCAGCUCUCUCACUGUCUUAUCUCUCAGUUAGUUAAUCUAGUCUGUGUCAGGAUGUCACUCAUAUUACUAUUGCUCCUCUCAGCGUUUGUAGCUGAUAGUAUGGAGCAGGAAACAAUAACUCCAGUGAAGCCUGAAGUCAAUGCUCUCCAAGGAACAGACAUCACUCUCUCCUGCAACUACAAGGGCGACGUUAAUAAUCUACAAUGGUACCGUCAAUACCCCGGAUCCAGACCAGAGUGUCUUCUUUUGAUCCUACCAACCAACAAGUAUGUACAGAAUACAUCCAUUACGACUCCACGGCACACUGGUAGACUGAAUGAAGAGAAGACCCGUGUUGACUUGAUGAUCUCCUCUGUUGAAUUGGAAGACUCUGCUCUGUACCACUGUGCCUUGCAGCCCACAGUGACAGGAAACCCAGACACACUGUACAAAAACCUGUCAAGACCCUUGGGGGUGAACAGUGCAUUGUAUUCUGAUCAAUCAGAUAUAAAGGAGAGUACAUUAAUACAUAUAUUUUUUUCCUGCAUCUCCACAAUGUUUUGGUUGGUCAGGGUGCUAUCUGUAAAAACAAUUAUAAUAAAUUGGUAUCAACAGUACCCUGGAUCGCCUCCCAUCUUCCUCCUCCUCACUGGAGUGUCCUCAAACCCCUCUGUAGUGAAAGAUAAACCUGCAGAUCCUCGACUGUCUGUUAAACUGAACAAUGAGAGAACCUGCAUAGAUCUGUAG